AGCAGUAGCCACGGUAAUACGUAGGUGGCAAGCGUUGUCCGGAAUUAUUGGGCGUAAAGGGCUCGCAGGCGGUUUCUUAAGUCUGAUGUGAAAGCCCCCGGCUCAACCGGGGAGGGUCAUUGGAAACUGGGAAACUUGCGUGCAGAAGAGGAGAGUGGAAUUCCACGUGUAGCGGUGAAAUGCGUAGAGAUGUGGAGGAACACCAGUGGCGAAGGCGACUCUCUGGUCUGUAACUGACGCUGAGGAGCGAAAGCGUGGGGAGCGAACAGGAUUAGAUACCCGAGUAGUCCCUGUCUCUUAUAC
rnacentral:rRNA from 1 species